AAUAAGGGGAUGAAAAGUUGAAGCACAGAGUAGAACUGCUAAAAAAGGAAAGAAGGAAGGACAAACAGGGCAACAAAAUAAUCAGGACUCUGCAGAGAGCCCCUGCCAGCAAGAAUGCCCUCACCAAGAUGCAGCCUCUUGGCCUUGGACUUCCCAGCCUCCAUAACUCCAUUGACGUUGGCCAGCAAUGGAAUCUAAGCCCAGCGUACCUGGAAAGUACACUGUUAUGAAAAACAGAGUUUUUUAAAACGAGUACACUGCAAACUGGGGGAAAUCUUUUUUUUUUUUUUUCUGUAAAAACUGAACCACCUGAGAAGGCAUACGUGUAUUUAUUUUUCUACACACUUAAUUUGUUCAGUUUUAGAACUCAAGAUCCUUUAUUAUUGUUAGUGUAUU